CACAACACACACGCGCGCACACACAAAGCGCAGCAGGUUCAACACUAGCUACAAUCACAAGUAGGCAGCAAUGGCGAGGCAUCGCCUCCUCGCCGUGCUCCUCAUCGGCAUAGUUGCAGCCUCCGCCUUCAACCAAGCAGCUGUGGCUGGCCGAGGCCUUGCUGCCAUCGAGAAGUUUGCAGAGCUAGAGCCAAAGCCAGAACCUAAACAAGAGCUAAUGCCCAAACCUAUGCCACACACAGAGCCAGAGCCAUGCAAACCUGAACCGACGCCCAAACCCAAACCAAAGCCCGAACAAAAGCCUGGACAUAAGCCUGAGCCAGAACCCAAGCCCAAGCCGAUGCCAAAACCGAAGCCCGAGCCCUGCUCCAAACCAAAGCUGGUGCCAAAACCCGAACCAAAGCCAGAGCCCAAGCCUGAACCUGAACCGAAACCGAAGCCGCCUCCAAAGUGCAAACCACCGACAACGCACAAUUGAUGGGAUGCUUAUAUAUGAGAGUUGAUGGAGGAGACCCCGCACGGAGCCACACUGUGCUAUUUCUAGAAUAAGUGGUGUAGUACUCCUUGUAUUCCAUUUCUUUCUAUUUUUCCAUGCAGAGUACGUACUAGUACUCUGUAAUUACUAUUUGCUUGUUGGUAUAUGUUCAUCUACUUUGUAUGUGACUGACUCGUUGUUCUUUUGAGUAUCUACGCAUGAUUGUAUUCAUUCACAUCAAUGAGCUAUUUCGUUAGUGGACUGCAGUCUAUGUUGUUUUCUCUAUGGGGUUGUUUCAUAUUAUGUGGUCUUUUUUGGGGGGAAAGACGAUGUCAACAAAAAAGAAGAAAAUGACUCCCUAAAUAGCAGCACACAUAUGAAGUGUAUAGUGUGCGCGUACGUGCCUGGUGUUCUAGAUGUAUAAAGUGUACUCACACGCAAGACAACAGCCUUGUUCUCUACCCUUCACCUAUGAGCUAAGUCCCGACCGUGUGCGUUAGUAUUUAUGCCCAGGCUGACUCCGCUGCUGGUUAUACUAGCUAAACUUUGCACACAUUGCUACGAAAAUUUAUAGCAAUGAAAUUUUGAAAACUAGCAUAUAUGGGGAUAAUACUACACAACAUUCUCACCAUAUGUCAAUGAAAACCUACAUGUAAUGGAGGGUGGAUGCAUUUUAUAUUGUCUUGUGACCUUAUAGUUUAAUUAUUUCUUGCUGAACAUAAAUAGUAAAAAAUAAUGAGGUGAAGAGCUUUCAUGUGUUUGAUGAUGUGGAGGACUUGCAUAUGAUGAAAAGUGAAAAGUUGAAUGAUUACAUGCACGCUUGAUGAUAUGGAGGACUUGCCUGUGAUGAAAAGUGGUAAGUGAAAGUUUAUUGGCUGCAUGCCCUUCAUAAUGUGAUUGACAUGCAUGUGUAUUUAAAUGGGAUGACUUACUUAGAUACUAUAUAGGAUAUGUUUGAAAGAUAACUACACCCCCUAGGUCAAGAUUACCAAGAAAAACACCAUGGAAAUUAUUAUUAAUAGAUUUUCUCUUACUCAAUUCGCAACAAGAAAAAACACUCAACGACAAUGCUAUGCAACAUAAGAGAGACCACAAUAAUCUCUCACCCACCCCAUGGUACUGCCAGGGUAGGCUCUAUGAUUUUAAGAGCCCUUGGGUGAAGUUGGCGAAUUGAUCAUCCUUAUUUUUUCCUUUUUCAACACUCAACAAAUCUUUUUUAAGAAACAUUAUAGUAACCCUAAAACUGACGAGGAAAGUAAAUACAUAAAUUGAACUUUGAAAUUAGAGGUCUAACAUUUAACAUGCUUCGAGGAAUGGGUGGCACUGAUAAUAUGGCUAUGGAUGCAUGCAAUGAGAGAUCUAGAGAGUGACAAGCUCGUGCCUUGUUGUCCUUGACGUAUGAGGAGGCGGCGAGACUCACGUCGUCAAGCUUCGAGACAAACCUGCAACGACGAAGAUCGUGAAUUGCAAUAAGGAGAACUGGUGAUGCCAUGUGUCCAUGUCGCAUACCGAUUGUGAUUCUUUUCCUUUUGAUGGACUAGUUCAACCAACGGCUAAAAGCCUAAAGCUUGCUUUUAGGAGAGCGUGUAUACCUCACUUUUAGUAGAGCUCCUUCUCAACGCUUAUAGCGCUCGCUGCAGCGCACAUGUGCUCGUGCAAAUGGGUCUUCCCAUUAAUUGGUAAAGCAGUUGCUCGCCCGACCGCCCACUACACUCCUUUUUUGCCGCCUUCUUUUCCUGGUAUUGCUCUAUAUAUUAUUCAAUGAAAGAAAACUUCCACCGGGUUUACAAAUUUAAAAAAAUCAUGAAUAUGAAAAGGUUCACAAAUGUGAAAAAAUACGGAUUUGAAAAUAUAAUUUAUUCAAAAACAUGGACAACUUCUAAAAAAUCACAAAUUCAUUUUUUGCGAAUUCGAAAAGGUGAAUUAAAAAAUUGUAAUUUCAAAAAACUCGCAAAUAUGAAAAAAUGUUCACAAAAUAAAGAGUUCAUGAAUUUAAAAAUAAUAAAAGAAUGCAAACAGAAAAGAGAAACAAGGCGGAAAAGUAAAAAAGAAAAACCAGGCAGAAAGUUUACAGAACCAAAGUUGACCCAUAAGCUUUUGGAAAAUUCCUAAAAACGGGAGGGAGCUUCCGCUCACGUAAACCCCAUAGAUUGGCCACCCCUUAUACGAUCUAUUGAAGGAAGAGGUGUAUGCGCUUUCUACCAAUAACUUAGACACUAGUGCUAAAUAGCAUAUUUCCACUUUUAGCGAGGGGUAGAACGAAAUUUGACUAUAAAGCCACGGCAUGGGCCAAUCGCAACAUUUUCUUUCUAACAAACAAGAUUUUUCUAUAGGGGCACACGUCUCACUCUAAUGAGCGUGUUUUUUUCAUUCUUAUUUUCACUUUUUUUUCUCAUUUUCUAGAAAACGUUCUAUAAAAUAUAUGGGUUUGUACUUUUGGUAAGUGAUCAUGUAGUUUAAUAAGUGUAAAUGUACUUAAAAAUGCUCAUCAUGUAUUUAUAAAACAUUUUCAAAAAAAUCAAACAUUUUUCAAAUACACAUAGAACUGAAAAGUGUUCAAAUAUUUUCCGAAAAUAUACACUGUGAACAUUUUGAACAAUAUAGGAUGAAGAUUUCUUUCAAUACAUGAUGAACCUUUCAAAUAACAAUAUUUUUCUAAAAUUGCACAAUGAUUUUUUUAAAUCCAUGAUAAUGUUUAAAUAUACAAUAUUAUUUUCAUACACGACGAACAUUUUGAAAAAACAUGAGUGAGCAUUGCCCAACUCCCAUGAGGGAGGGGCGAUGAUCGUGGUGCACUUUCGGCUUGGUCGAGUGAUUGUAGACAUCGCUAGGUGGUCUAUGGAACUGGAUGUAAGUUAUGUUACUUCAGGUGUUCUUAUACUGACAUGAUAGUUGAUAAAUAGAUCGAAAGUUUUUUUUUGUAAAAAAUAAAAGAAACAUUUCGAACUUGUCUUAAAAAUUGUUCCUGAGAUUUUGAAAAUAUAUUUGCCUUGUUCCAAAAAAUUACAUUUUCAUUUUUCACAUGUUUAGAAAAUUGUUCAUGGCAAUACUAAAAAUGUUUCAUUAUAAAAAAAGUUCUUACAUUUUUUAUAAAAAUGUUCAUAGUAUAUCAAAAAAUUUCAUCAUGUAUUUAUAAAACGUUCAAAUAUGUAUUGGAAAAAUAUUAUAUGUGUAUUUUUAAAAAUAUUUUGAAAAAAAAUCAGCAUGUAUUUGAAAUAUGGAAAAAUGAAAAAGAAAAUACAAAACAAAACAUGAAAUAAAUGAAGAAAAGUAAAAGGGGUAUGAAAAUGAAAAACCUAAAGAAACGCGAUAAAGAAACCAGAAGAAAAAACCCAAACAGAAUGUUUCAAAAAUCGCACGAAACGAACCAAUGCUACGCCUCCACCGCGACUGGGCCACAGCCCGCACACCAUUGCCAGAGGUGAGGGCCGCAUUUGCGCAAAAUGACCGCACACAUUGAACAAACUGUCAGCUAGCUAGUUAUUAGAAUGACAUGUAACUUUAUUCAAACUCAACAAAGUUACAGGUACAAUGCUUUGAUCAUGCAUACAAGAAAUUAUAAAAUAAUUCCUAUAACUAAGAAUUACGAUGCAACCCUCUUGAGUAAAAGUAUGACAAACGGAGGAAAAAAAUAUUAGCACAAUAUAAUCCUUGCUCUAUCCGAAUAUAUGGCGGUACAAAACUCAGCAACCCCGUUCGUUUUGGAGCUCCGGCUCCAUGAGGCCUUUUUUGGAAAAUCAGACAUGCAUAACUAAAACAUACGUGAUCUAACAUAUCUUAUAUUAGUUUACAGAGGGAGUACAUGCAUAAGUAAAACAUACGCAUGCAUGAGACUGGAGAAUGAGGGGCAUGCAUCGUCAAAAUAGGGUAGUUUGUCGGACAGUUAUAAGAUUUAAUAAUUUGGGGCAAUAAGCAUGAUAAAUCCUCAUUGGUAUCUAUAAUUUUGAAACUGUGCCCAGUAUACCGGGCCAGAGGGAGUGCUUGAGAAACACUUUUUACAAAAAGAAGGAUAACCCCUGAUCUAUGCAUAAGCAAUGCACACAGCCACUUUUAUUAUAUUAUUCAACAAAAUCUGACAAAACUAGUACAUGGACAACAUAAAGCCAUCUUCAUGGCAACCACUUGAGAAAACACUGAGUCCGUGAAAACUCGGUCGACGAAGCAGUCCAGGGAGCCUUGGGGCUUCCAACAGGUGGUGAAGCUCCCGCACAGGGUGUACGAUCGGGCCAAUUCCUUUCCAUUGUGAAUUGAACUGAAGUGAUUGCUUUUUUUUUACUUUGUAUUGCAAUUGCACUAACAUAAUUCUAAUGAUGGACGGUCACAUGGACGUGUGAGCACGGGAUUGACAAGCCAACUAACAUAAUUCUAUUACUACGAGGAUGCAACUAAUAGACUAAAAAUAUUGUUACUCACCCCCGCUGUCAUAACAAAGAGACACACACGCAAAAUCCAGCUGUGCUUAUUAACACCUCUACCUACCUAGGUUGCUUCAUUUGUAAUCAACUAAUCAACGAAUAUAACUCCAUUGACGUGUUAUGCAGUACUCUUUCACUUCAGCUAGCUAGCUGCAAUUCUAAUUAAUGCAGCCUCCAGAUCUGCUUUGUUUCACCAAGCCUAUAAAACCACACAAUAUGUAUCUCCAGUUCUCCACACAACACACACACACACACACACACACACACAAAACACAGCAGGUGCAACACUAGCUAGCUGUAAGCAUAAGAAGUAGGCAGCAAUGGCGAGGCAUCGCCUCCUCGUCGUGCUCCUCAUCGGGAUAGUUGCAGCCUCCGCCUUCAACCAAGCAGCUGCCGCUGGCCGAGGCCUUGCUGUCGUUGAGAAGUUUGCAGAGCUAGAGCCAAAGCCAGAGCCCAAACCAGAACCAAUUCCCAAGCUUACGCCACACCCAGAGCCAGAGCCUUGCAAACCUGAACCAAUGCCCAAACCCAAACCAAAACCCGAACAAAAGCCCGGACAGAAGCCCGAACCAGAACCCAAGCCCAAGCCAAUGCCAAAACCAAAGCCCGAGCCCUGCUCCAAACCAAAGCCAGAUCCUAAGCCCGAGCCGAUGCCGAAACCCGAACCAAAGCCGGAGCCCAAGCCUAAACCUGAACCGAAACCGAAGCCGCCUCCGAAGUGCAAAUCACCGGCAACACACAAUUGAUGGGAUAAUUAUAUAUGACACUUGACGAAGGAGACCUGGAAUGGAGCCACACUGUGUUAUUGUUAGAAUAAGUGGUGUAGUAUUCUCUGUAUUCACUUUCUUUUUAUUGUUCCAUGAGCGCGUGAUGAGUAUUAGAACUCUGUGAUUAUUAUUUUCUUGUUGCUAUAUGUUCAUCUACUUUGUAUGUGACCAGACUCGUUGUUCUUUUGAGUAUAAGUGCAUGAUUGUAUUCAUUCGCAUGAAUGAGCUAUGUUGUCCAGUGGGCUGCAGUCUAUUGUUG
rnacentral:lncRNA from 1 species